rnacentral:rRNA from 1 species
UUAAGCGACUAAGCGUACACGGUGGAUGCCCUGGCAGUCAGAGGCGAUGAAGGACGUGCUAAUCUGCGAAAAGCGCCGGCGAGGUGAUAUGAACCUUUGACCCGGCGAUGUCCGAAUGGGGAAACCCAGUGCAAUCCGUUGCACUAUCGUUAACUGAAUACAUAGGUUAACGAGGCGAACCGGGGGAACUGAAACAUCUAAGUACCCCGAGGAAAAGAAAUCAACCGAGAUUCCCCCAGUAGCGGCGAGCGAACGGGGAGCAGCCCGGAGUCUGAAUCAGCUUGUGUGUUAGUGGAACGGUCUGGAAAGUCCGACGGUACAGGGUGAUAGUCCCGUACACGAAAGCACACAUGCUGUGAACUCGAAGAGUAGGGCGGGACACGUGGUAUCCUGUCUGAAUAUGGGGGGACCAUCCUCCAAGGCUAAAUACUCCUGACUGACCGAUAGUGAACCAGUACCGUGAGGGAAAGGCGAAAAGAACCCCGGCGAGGGGAGUGAAAAAGAACCUGAAACCGUGUACGUACAAGCAGUGGGAGCCUCUUUAUGGGGUGACUGCGUACCUUUUGUAUAAUGGGUCAGCGACUUAUAUUCUGUAGCAAGGUUAACCGUAUAGGGGAGCCGAAGGGAAACCGAGUCUUAACUGGGCGUUAAGUUGCAGGGUAUAGACCCGAAACCCGGUGAUCUAGCCAUGGGCAGGUUGAAGGUUGGGUAACACUAACUGGAGGACCGAACCGACUAAUGUUGAAAAAUUAGCGGAUGACCUGUGGCUGGGGGUGAAAGGCCAAUCAAACCGGGAGAUAGCUGGUUCUCCCCGAAAGCUAUUUAGGUAGCGCCUCGUGAACUCAUCUUCGGGGGUAGAGCACUGUUUCGGCUAGGGGGCCAUCCCGGCUUACCAACCCGAUGCAAACUACGAAUACCGAAGAAUGUUAUCACGGGAGACACACGGCGGGUGCUAACGUCCGUCGUGAAGAGGGAAACAACCCAGACCGCCAGCUAAGGUCCCAAAGUCAUGGUUAAGUGGGAAACGAUGUGGGAAGGCACAGACAGCCAGGAUGUUGGCUUAGAAGCAGCCAUCAUUUAAAGAAAGCGUAAUAGCUCACUGGUCGAGUCGGCCUGCGCGGAAGAUGUAACGGGGCUAAACCAUGCACCGAAGCUGCGGCAGCGACGCUUAUGCGUUGUUGGGUAGGGGAGCGUUCUGUAAGCCGUUGAAGGUGUCCUGUGAGGGGUGCUGGAGGUAUCAGAAGUGCGAAUGCUGACAUAAGUAACGAUAAAGCGGGUGAAAAGCCCGCUCGCCGGAAGACCAAGGGUUCCUGUCCAACGUUAAUCGGGGCAGGGUGAGUCGACCCCUAAGGCGAGGCCGAAAGGCGUAGUCGAUGGGAAACAGGUUAAUAUUCCUGUACUUGGUGUUACUGCGAAGGGGGGACGGAGAAGGCUAUGUCAGCCGGGCGACGGUUGUCCCGGUUUAAGCAUGUAGGCGGAGGUUCCAGGUAAAUCCGGUACCUUGUUAACGCUGAGGUGUGAUGACGAGGCACUACGGUGCUGAAGUGAUAAAUGCCCUGCUUCCAGGAAAAGCCUCUAAGCAUCAGGUAACACGAAAUCGUACCCCAAACCGACACAGGUGGUCAGGUAGAGAAUACCAAGGCGCUUGAGAGAACUCGGGUGAAGGAACUAGGCAAAAUGGUGCCGUAACUUCGGGAGAAGGCACGCUGAUGUGUAGGUGAAGUCCCUGCGGACGGAGCUGAAAUCAGUCGAAGAUACCAGCUGGCUGCAACUGUUUAUUAAAAACACAGCACUGUGCAAACACGAAAGUGGACGUAUACGGUGUGACGCCUGCCCGGUGCCGGAAGGUUAAUUGAUGGGGUUAGCGGCAACGCGAAGCUCUUGAUCGAAGCCCCGGUAAACGGCGGCCGUAACUAUAACGGUCCUAAGGUAGCGAAAUUCCUUGUCGGGU